AUGGCAUGGCACAGCCUGGUACAGUACAACAGGGCACAGCUGCCUCCUGCAGCACAGCACGGCUCAGUACAGCACAAUCCAACAGCACAGCACAACUCGGCCCGGCCCGGCCCAGCCCAGGCCAGUCGUGCUCAGUUGACACAAGAGUCAGUACGGCCUACCCAGGCGGGAUGUCCUCGCUGGCCCACACUGCUAACACACAACACAAGCUCGCUGGGGCUCGUUAUCGCCUCUCCCACAUCCCUGCUCCUCUGCAAGCUCUCUCGGGGGCACAGACAUGGGACAGAGGCGUCCUCCUGUGACCCAGCCCCGGCACCCCCAACUACCCAGUGCUGGUCCCCACACACACCCAUGGCGUCACCCCCACACCUUGCCGAGCACAAACCCGUGCCCACCCCUCCCGAGACACCCCACGGGGUCCGUGAGGACACUCAUGUCCGUGAGGACACCGUCCACAGCACAAGUGUCGCUGCCCCCCUACGAACCACCCGCACCCCGCCCCGAUUCCCUGCCACGCCAUCGCGUGGGGUCCGGAAAACAGCACCAGCGCCACAGAGGACCCCGCGCGUUGGGGUCCCGUCCCCCCGCGUCCCUCCCCGCGGGACCGCGCUCCGUUCCCCCUCCUCCCGCCGCCGGACCCCAACCCGACGUGCCCCCACCCACUCCGGUGACAGGAGCGGCGUGUCGCAGCGCGUCCCCGCUGUUUCGCGACCGGCCGCCCACCCCCCAGUCACCGUCGGUCUCCGGGACGCUCGGGAGAGCGCUGGGAGAGCCCCUCGCCGCCUGUGGCACCGGAGGGCGCAGGGUCAGGGGGGUGGGGGGACGAAGCGGGCGGAGGGGAGUCGAGAGAACGAGGGGGACCGCCGGGGGCCGCGGCGGGGCUCGGGAACGGCGGGGGUCGCGAAGCGGGGCGGGCCGCCCUACCUGCUGCGCGCUGCUCCGCCGGGCUGCGGCCGCCGCCGGACGGGACGGGCCGGGACGGGUCGGACGGGGCGGGGGCAGCCACCGCCCACCGCGCCCCCCCGCGGCGGCUCCGCGCCCUGCACCCGGGGCGGCCGGUACCGGCGGCGGGGCGCGCUGUCCCUCCCGCCUGUUGCUCCCGGGGCCGGACCCCGCUGCCCUCGCCCGUCCCCCCGGGAUUUCCCUCCCGCCACCUCUGACGUCACUCAGGGACCCCCUUCCUCACCAAUGACGUCAGCGGGGGGACACCCCUCGCGGCGGCGGGGGAGGAAUCCCCUCCUCUCGGGAGGUGACGCGAGCGCGGGGCCGAGCGUUGCCCCCCCCGCUCCCUCCCGGUGCCGCGGCGGCGGCGGGGCCGGCAGGGGGCGCGGCGGGCGCGUGACGCCGGUUGGCGGCAUGGCCGCGGGGCCCGGCGGGGCGGCGGCGGCGGCGGCAGCGGCCGGGGCGCGCGGGCUCGGGGCCGCCUGCCUGCGCCUCCUCCGCCGCGCCCGCCGCGCCGCCGCCGCGCUCAUGGCCUUCGCCGCCCCGCUGCUGUUCCGCCUGGGGUGA
rnacentral:lncRNA from 1 species